rnacentral:rRNA from 1 species
CGGCGGACGGGUGAGUAACGCGUGGGUAACCUGCCUCAUACAGGGGGAUAACAGUUAGAAAUGACUGCUAAUACCGCAUAAGCACACAGUACCGCAUGGUACAGUGUGAAAAACUCCGGUGGUAUGAGAUGGACCCGCGUCUGAUUAGCUGGUUGGCGGGGUAACGGCCCACCAAGGCGACGAUCAGUAGCCGACCUGAGAGGGUGACCGGCCACAUUGGGACUGAGACACGGCCCAA